UCAGAUGUGGUGUACUGGGAACACAGCCUCCUAUUUUAACGAGAUUAGUAACAAAUUGAGAGGUGGUCCAGGGUUCGAAUCCCUGUGUCUGAA